GACGAACGCUGGCGGCGUGCCUAGUACAUGCAAGUAGAACGCACAGUUUAUACCGUAGCUUGCUACACCAUAGACUGUGAGUUGCGAACGGGUGAGUAACGCGUAGGUAACCUGCCUGGUAGCGGGGGAUAACUAUUGGAAACGAUAGCUAAUACCGCAUAAUAUUAAUUAUUGCAUGAUAAUUAAUUGAAAGGUGCAAUUGCACCACUACCAGAUGGACCUGCGUUGUAUUAGCUAGUAGGUGAGGUAACGGCUCACCUAGGCGACGAUACAUAGCCGACCUGAGAGGGUGAUCGGCCACACUGGGACUGAGACACGGCCCAGACUCCUACGGGAGGCAGCAGUAGGGAAUCUUCGGCAAUGGACGAAAGUCUGACCGAGCAACGCCGCGUGAGUGAAGAAGGUUGUCGGAUCGUAAAGCUCUGUUGUAAGAGAAGAACGGGUGUGAGAGUGGAAAGUUCACACUGUGACGGUAUCUUACCAGAAAGGGACGGCUAACUACGUG
rnacentral:rRNA from 1 species